UCUUAUACAUGCAGUCGAACGAUGAUGCCUAGCUUGCUAGGUGGAUUAGUGGCGAACGGGUGAGUAACACGUGAGUAACCUGCCCCUGACUCUGGGAUAAGCCUGAGAAAUUGGGUCUAAUACUGGAUAUGAACAUUUACCGCAUGGUGGGUGUUGGAAAGAUUUUUUGGUUGGGGAUGGACUCGCGGCCUAUCAGCUUGUUGGUGAGGUAGUGGCUCACCAAGGCGACGACGGGUAGCCGGCCUGAGAGGGUGACCGGCCACACUGGGACUGAGACACGGCCCAGACUCCUACGGGAGGCAGCAGUGGGGAAUAUUGCACAAUGGGCGAAAGCCUGAUGCAGCGACGCCGCGUGAGGGAUGACGGCCUUCGGGUUGUAAACCUCUUUCAGUAAGGAAGAAGCGAAAGUGACGGUACUUGCAGAAGAAGCGCCGGCUAACUACGUGCCAGCAGCCGCGGUAAUACGUAGGGCGCGAGCGUUAUCCGGAAUUAUUGGGCGUAAAGAGCUCGUAGGCGGUUUGUCGCGUCUGCCGUGAAAGUCCGGGGCUUAACUCCGGAUCUGCGGUGGGUACGGGCAGGCUAGAGUGCAGUAGGGGAGACUGGAAUUCCUGGUGUAGCGGUGAAAUGCGCAGAUAUCAGGAGGAACACCGAUGGCGAAGGCAGGUCUCUGGGCUGUAACUGACGCUGAGGAGCGAAAGCAUGGGUAGCGAACAGGAUUAGAUACCCUGGUAGUCCAUGCCGUAAACGUUGGGCACUAGGUGUGGGGGACAUUCCACGUUUUCCGCGCCGUAGCUAACGCAUAAAGUGCCCCGCCUGGGGAGUACGGCCGCAGGCUAAAACUCAAAGGAAUUGACGGGGGCCCGCCACAAGCGGCGGA
rnacentral:rRNA from 1 species